GCCGGACCUGACUGCUAUCGGAUUGAUACUAAGCCAUGCGAGUCAUUGUAGCAAUACAAGGCAUACGGCUCAGUAACGCGUAGUCAACCUAACCUAUGGACGGGAAUAACCUCGGGAAACUGAGAAUAAUGCCCGAUAGAACAUUAUACCUGGAAUGGUUUAUGUUCCAAAUGAUUUAUCGCCGUAGGAUGGGACUGCGGCCUAUCAGUUUGUUGGUGAGGUAAUGGCCCACCAAGACUAUUACAGGUACGGGCUCUGAGAGGAGUAGCCCGGAGAUGGGUACUGAGACACGGACCCAGGCCCUAUGGGGCGCAGCAGGCGAGAAAACUUUGCAAUGUGCGAAAGCACGACAAGGUUAAUCCGAGUGGUUUCUGCUAAAGAAACCUUUUGUCAGUCCUAGAAACACUGAUGAAUAAGGGGUGGGCAAAUUCUGGUGUCAGCA
rnacentral:rRNA from 1 species